GACAAAAUCAAGAUGUAACAAGCGCUUAUCAAGAUGAGAUGAUAUUACAAUGCCUGGAGGGUUUUCUUUGCGUCGGAUAUAAAUAUAUAUCACUAGACAAAGUUUGCCGUUCACACUUUCCAUAUAUUAUGAAGUUUGUUAAAGUAUGUUAUUUGCAAUUCUACACUCAAACACUAUACAAAGGAUUAAUAUUAAAAACUCUUACAAAACAUUGUAUCUGCUUUUAUCUAUUCUCCUUGUAACUAUUCUGCAAAAGUUUCUUCCUGACUAUAACACACACGUGAAAUUACUUAAAGGGACACUAUAGUCACCAAAACAACUACAGCUUAUUGAAUUUGUUCUGAUGAGUAGAAUCAUUCCCUUCAGGCUUUUUGCUAUAAACACUGUAUUUUCAGAGAAAAUGCAGUGUUUACAUUAUAGCCUAGUGAUAACUCCACUGGCCACUCCUCAGAUGGCUAUUAGAGAUCCUUCCUGGGUCAUGGCUGCCUAAAACGCAUCCAAACAUUCAGUGUCUCCUCCCUCUGCAUGCAGACACUGAACUUUGCUCAUAGAGAUUCAUUGAUUCCAUUCAUCUCCAUGAGGAGAUGCUGAUUCUUCAGGGCUGUGUUUGAAUCAUGCUGGCUCUGCCCCUGAUCUGCCUCUUUGUCAGUCUCAGCCAAUCCUAUGGAGAAGCACUGUGAUUGGAUUAGGCCACCACUUCUGAUGAUGUCAGCAGACUGCUUGUUUUUCUGAGUCAAACAGCAUGCAGAUUUACAGCUUCUUGGCUUGAAUACAGUAAGAUUUUGCUAUAUUUAUGGAGGCAUGAGGGACCCAGGGGGGCUAGAUGGUGGUGUUAACACUAUAGGGUCAGGAAUACAUGUUUGUGUUCCUGACCCUAUAGUGAUCCUUUAACACUAGCUUUAGAUUCUCAGACAGGUGCAUUUAGGGUGUUUUAAAAGUCAAUUGUUAUACUUUGUUUCCCAUCUUUGGGCACACUCUAUUCUCUUUUCUAGUGGGUAGCAUAUGGUUAACAUUGGAAGAGUUGUUUAACGUAACACCCUGAGGACCAAAACCACUAUGGCGUGCUGUAGUGGUU